rnacentral:rRNA from 1 species
GUCAGCAGCUAUAUCACCCAGCAACUCCCAACUGAAGCUAAGCAGGUGUGAGCCUGGCCAGUACCUGGAUGAGAGACCUCCUGGGAAAGCCAAGGUUGCUGCUAUAA